rnacentral:rRNA from 1 species
AAUCCAUAGGUUAAUGAGGCGAACCGGGGGAACUGAAACAUCUAAGUACCCCGAGGAAAAGAAAUCAACCGAGAUUCCCCCAGUAGCGGCGAGCGAACGGGGAGGAGCCCAGAGCCUGAAUCAGCAUGUGUGUUAGUGGAAGCGUCUGGAAAGGCGCGCGAUACAGGGUGACAGCCCCGUACACAAAAGCGCAUGUGCUGUGAGCUCGAUGAGUAGGGCGGGACACGUGGUAUCCUGUCUGAAUAUGGGGGGACCAUCCUCCAAGGCUAAAUACUCCUGACUGACCGAUAGUGAACCAGUACCGUGAGGGAAAGGCGAAAAGAACCCCGGCGAGGGGAGUGAAAAAGAACCUGAAACCGUGUACGUACAAGCAGUGGGAGCACAGGUUUACCUGUGUGACUGCGUACCUUUUGUAUAAUGGGUCAGCGACUUAUAUUCUGUAGCAAGGUUAACCGAAUAGGGGAGCCGGAGGG